CCUACGGGUGGCAGCAGUGAGGAAUAUUCGUCAAUGGGCGGGAGCCUGAACCAGUCAAGUCGCGUGAGGGAAGACGGUCCUAUGGAUUGUAAACCUCUUUAGGCGGGGAGCAAUGCCGGUCACGCGUGCCCGGAGGGAGAGUACCCGCAGAAUAAGCAUCGGCUAACUCCGUGCCAGCAGCCGCGGUAAUACGGAGGAUGCGAGCGUUAUCCGGAUUUAUUGGGUUAAAGGGGUGCGUAGGCGGUUUUUUACGUCAGCGGUAAAAUGUCCGGGCUCAACCCGGGCCGGCCGUUGAAACUGGGGAUCUUGAGUGGGCGAGAAGUGUGCGGAAUGCGAGGUGUAGCGGUGAAAUGCAUAGAGAUCACGCAGAACUCCGAUUGCGAAGGCAGCAUACCGGCGCCCGACUGACGCUGAGGCACGAAAGCGUGGGGAUCGAACAGGAUUAGAUACACUUGUAGUC
rnacentral:rRNA from 1 species